rnacentral:rRNA from 1 species
CCUACGGGAGGCAGCAGUGAGGAAUAUUGGUCAAUGGGCGCGAGCCUGAACCAGCCAAGUCGCGUGAGGGAUGAAGGUUCUAUGGAUCGUAAACCUCUUUUAUAAGGGAAUAAAGUGUGGGACGUGUCCUAUUUUGUAUGUACCUUAUGAAUAAGGAUCGGCUAACUCCGUGCCAGCAGCCGCGGUAAUACGGAGGAUCCGAGCGUUAUCCGGAUUUAUUGGGUUUAAAGGGUGCGUAGGCGGCCUUUUAAGUCAGCGGUGAAAGUCUGUGGCUCAACCAUAGAAUUGCCGUUGAAACUGGGGGCCUUGAGUGGGCGAGAAGAAGGCGGAAUGCGUGGUGUAGCGGUGAAAUGCAUAGAUAUCACGCAGAACCCCGAUUGCGAAGGCAGCCUUCCGGCGCCCUACUGACGCUGAGGCACGAAAGUGCGGGGAUCGAACAGGAUUAGAUACCCCAGUAGUU